GUGCUCACUUUGGUAGCACAUAUACUAAAAUUGGAAUGGUACAGAGAAGAUUAGCAUAACCCCUGGACAAGGAUGACACCCAAAUUCAUGAAGCAUUCUGGAUUUUU
rnacentral:snRNA from 1 species